ACAUUGGUGGUUGAGUGGUAGAAUUCUCAACUUCCAUGUGGGAGACUGAGUUUGAUUCCCAGCCAGUGCA
rnacentral:tRNA from 1 species